rnacentral:lncRNA from 1 species
AGUGGUUGAUUUGUAGGUGGAGGGGAUUGCAAAACCAAGAACUCGAAGAUGAUCGUGAGAACACAAGGGACACGAGGAUUUUAGAUAGGUUCGGGCCUCCGGUAUUACUACAUCCUGUAUGCUUGGUAGCUUGUAUUGCUUGAGAAAUUUGAUGCCCUCGGUGUUGGAGAUAUUCCCUAGAGGCAAUCAUAGAGAUGAUGAUAUCUGAUUGUAUUCAUGAUUUGUAUAUUGUGUUCAUUGAAUAUCCAUUAAAGGGUACUUGAAUUG